GGAGAUCAGCAUGGGGUCACAAUGGCCAGUCUCAUAUUCCCUCUCAAAGACUGAAGCAGGAAGGAAGCAGCAUGUCUGGGGCUUGCAGUUUUGUUGUUUUAAAACAGAAAAAGACUUUUCUUUUGUGGUAAGGUCCUAUGCUUUCUUCUUUAUCCCUCCAACAAAGUAGGUAUCCACCACCCUCAAAAACUGGUUUUGGUUUUGCCAUUAAUAUACAGAUAAGCAGAAAUCUGAGAAAAUUGACCAAAAGGACGUUUUUAUCUGCUGAUGCACAGAAUUCAGAGUACAGUUGUACCUCGAGUUACAGACGCUUCAGGUUACAGACGCUUCAGGUAACAGACUCCGCCAACCCAGAAGUAGUACCUGGGG